UCACGAUCGUGCCUAGGGCACGAUCGUGGAAGAGAGGGGGAAGAAGGGGGGGGACGACGGCGGCGGCGGCUUGGAGAGGCGACACCGGAGAGGAGACGAGCGCCGGAGACCCGAGAUCCGGCCGGCCGCGGGGAAACCCUCCUCUUUUCUUCGGUGAUUUUUUUUUUAAUCCGGGUUGCUCACGGAUUCUUCCACCCAUCUCUCGCCGGAAAGGUCGCCGGAGCACGCCGCCGGACCGAGGGGAGGAGACAGCGGUGCCAGGAGGUUUUGAUCAGGGGACUCAGCACCCCAGCGCGUAGGUUGUGAUUCGGACUGUGUUUGAGUCAGUCUACAAUUUCUGUAAGAAUCCCUACAUCUGAGCACUUCUAUGCAUAUAUUGACAUUUUGGUUGGAUUUAUUUUACGGUUGUGUUGUUAUUGCUUGUGAGCUGAUAUGACACAUAUGAGAUGAAUGUUUAUCAACAUAUUUUCAUUAUUA